UGGACGCUGGACCACAGGGGAAGGCUACAGGAGACAGGCCACCCAUCAGAUGUUUCCUCUUUCCAAGUGUGGAGCUCAGAUGUGGAUUGAGGCCUUUUAGUACUGGAUAGAAGAAGUAUUAAGAGACUCCAGAAUGGAAAUUCUUCUCACUUCCACGUCCUUUUAAAAUUAUCUGCCUCAAGAUGGUUAUAAACCUCUAGUCCUCAAAAGUCAUUAGACAUUUGACUGACACGAAGCAGACCCUCUUGUCUUAGGGCAGAAGGUGCUGUGUUGACUCUCCCCGAGAAACGUGACACCGGCUGGAGGCCUGAGGAGCUAGCGCUCGGUCUUUGUGGCCUGGCCUUGUUCUUUGUGGUGAGUUAGGUUAUUCAGAGAUACCCUUUGGCUAAGAGCAUCUAAAAACUAUGAGGAAAAGAAAAAUGUUUCAUAAUCUUCACGAAAGCAUCAAAUUACUGAUCAAAUAAAAACAAAAAAAUCAGGCCAAAAGC
rnacentral:lncRNA from 1 species